UAGCCAUGCCUCGCCGCCACCUCUCCUUCCCCCCAUUCAUCCUCUCGAGCCGCUGCCGCCGCCACCCCUAUCUCUCCUCCUCACACAUCCUUUCUCCUCGUCACAUCUGGCCGGAGGAGAAUGCUGCGGCCGCAUCCCCUGGCGAUGGCAGUGGGGGCGGGUGAGGCUGCAAGGCGACGAGCCAAGGCGGCAGUGCAGGGCCUCACAGGUUCUCGAUCUGGAGCGGCAGGGACGGACGCCGGCGAGGCUGGUCCCCCACCUCUCCUCACCUUCUCCGACGUUCCCGGUCUGGAGCGGGAGGGACGGACGCCGGCGAGGCCAGCCUCCCUUCACACACAGGUUUUAGAUCUUUCUAAACUAUUUGCUAUUGUUGUGUGAGAACUGAAUCAACUGAUGGAUAUCAAGAUUAUGUGGGAUGUUCUGCACAAUCAACUUGGGAAUAAUUAGCAAGUAGUGGUGUCAAUGGCAUCCGUCAGAGCCAUUUUGGUGGCACAUGCACACCACGUUCUGGAAUAACAUAAGUCUCACAAUCAACUUGGGCAGUUGAUGUAGGCUGCCUCAAUUUUCUGUCUGUGUAGCAGCAACAAGUUCAUGAAUCUACUGCUUGUUGCCUUUAUUAUUUUGAUCUAUGAAAAAAGAAAAUUUACCCUGUCAUUUAUGUAUGAAGGAGGAUGGAGGGAAUGUGGAUACGGCUUGGUUAGCAUCUAUUGAGGAAGUCACUAUGAAACAAGAGGAGAUGGAUAGGACUUUCAGAUCUGGCGUUCUCCCUGUCACUUACUGCCUGAUUUAUACACGGAAAUAAACAGAUAAUUUUACAGUCCGUACAUCGUAGGCCAAUAUAAAAAAGUACUUUUCCACUUCACAAAAUAAUACCUCAAAAGACACAUGUAUGAAGGGUAUACUGUUUUCCCAAUCAAAGUUGGAAACGGACGCGCCAAUGUCAUUGCUCGGCUUAUCAUUGGAGUCGACAACAGAGCUCCCAUCGCAACAAACUGGGCUCAAUUCUUUCGCAUGACAAAUAUGAGAGCAGGAGCACCAUAUGUGUUUGCCUUUGAGGAACUAGCUGGGGAGCUCCAUCUCACUGUACAGACUCCCUCUGAUAGUGGUGUAGGCAGCCACCGGCAUUAUCUGAUAAUAUAGUUUAGGUUCAGGACUUGCGUCAUGUACUGUUUUGUGGCCCGUGAAAUCUGCUUCACAUCACCUUAUUCUUUUUUUUUGCGGGUGAUCACCUUAUUCUUUCUGACUCGGCUACUUGGUUGUACGAACUGGAAGUACUCCAAAUGGUCUAAUUGUAGUUUCG